rnacentral:rRNA from 1 species
CGAAGGGAAACCGAGUCUUAACUGGGCGUUAAGUUGCAGGGUAUAGACCCGAAACCCGGUGAUCUAGCCAUGGGCAGGUUGAAGGUUGGGUAACACUAACUGGAGGACCGAACCGACUAAUGUUGAAAAAUUAGCGGAUGACUUGUGGCUGGGGGUGAAAGGCCAAUCAAACCGGGAGAUAGCUGGUUCUCCCCGAAAGCUAUUUAGGUAGCGCCUCGUGAAUUCAUCUCCGGGGGUAGAGCACUGUUUCGGCAAGGGGGUCAUCCCGACUUACCAACCCGAUGCAAACUGCGAAUACCGGAGAAUGUUAUCACGGGAGACACACGGCGGGUGCUAACGUCCGUCGUGAAGAGGGAAACAACCCAGACCGCCAGCUAAGGUCCCAAAGUCAUGGUUAAGUGGGAAACGAUGUGGGAAGGCCCAGACAGCCAGGAUGUUGGCUUAGAAGCAGCCAUCAUUUAAAGAAAGCGUAAUAGCUCACUGGUCGAGUCGGCCUGCGCGGAAGAUGUAACGGGGCUAAACCAUGCACCGAAGCUGCGGCAGCGACGCUGAUGCGUUGUUGGGUAGGGGAGCGUUCUGUAAGCCUGCGAAGGUGUGCUGUGAGGCAUGCUGGAGGUAUCAGAAGUGCGAAUGCUGACAUAAGUAACGAUAAAGCGGGUGAAAAGCCCGCUCGCCGGAAGACCAAGGGUUCCUGUCCAACGUUAAUCGGGGCAGGGUGAGUCGACCCCUAAGGCGAGGCCGAAAGGCGUAGUCGAUGGGAAACAGGUUAAUAUUCCUGUACUUGGUGUUACUGCGAAGGGGGGACGGAGAAGGCUAUGUUGGCCGGGCGACGGUUGUCCCGGUUUAAGCGUGUAGGCUGGUUUUCCAGGCAAAUCCGGAAAAUCAAGGCUGAGGCGUGAUGACGAGGCACUGCGGUGCUGAAGCAACAAAUGCCCUGCUUCCAGGAAAAGCCUCUAAGCAUCAGGUAACAUCAAAUCGUACCCCAAACCGACACAGGUGGUCAGGUAGAGAAUACCAAGGCGCUUGAGAGAACUCGGGUGAAGGAACUAGGCAAAAUGGUGCCGUAACUUCGGGAGAAGGCACGCUGAUAUGUAGGUGAAGUCCCUCGCGGAUGGAGCUGAAAUCAGUCGAAGAUACCAGCUGGCUGCAACUGUUUAUUAAAAACACAGCACUGUGCAAACACGAAAGUGGACGUAUACGGUGUGACGCCUGCCCGGUGCCGGAAGGUUAAUUGAUGGGGUUAGCGCAAGCGAAGCUCUUGAUCGAAGCCCCGGUAAACGGCGGCCGUAACUAUAACGGUCCUAAGGUAGCGAAAUUCCUUGUCGGGUAAGUUCCGACCUGCACGAAUGGCGUAAUGAUGGCCAGGCUGUCUCCACCCGAGACUCAGUGAAAUUGAACUCGCUGUGAAGAUGCAGUGUACCCGCGGCAAGACGGAAAGACCCCGUGAACCUUUACUAUAGCUUGACACUGAACAUUGAGCCUUGAUGUGUAGGAUAGGUGGGAGGCUUUGAAGUGUGGACGCCAGUCUGCAUGGAGCCGACCUUGAAAUACCACCCUUUAAUGUUUGAUGUUCUAACGUUGACCCGUAAUCCGGGUUGCGGACAGUGUCUGGUGGGUAGUUUGACUGGGGCGGUCUCCUCCUAAAGAGUAACGGAGGAGCACGAAGGUUGGCUAAUCCUGGUCGGACAUCAGGAGGUUAGUGCAAUGGCAUAAGCCAGCUUGACUGCGAGCGUGACGGCGCGAGCAGGUGCGAAAGCAGGUCAUAGUGAUCCGGUGGUUCUGAAUGGAAGGGCCAUCGCUCAACGGAUAAAAGGUACUCCGGGGAUAACAGGCUGAUACCGCCCAAGAGUUCAUAUCGACGGCGGUGUUUGGCACCUCGAUGUCGGCUCAUCACAUCCUGGGGCUGAAGUAGGUCCCAAGGGUAUGGCUGUUCGCCAUUUAAAGUGGUACGCGAGCUGGGUUUAGAACGUCGUGAGACAGUUCGGUCCCUAUCUGCCGUGGGCGCUGGAGAACUGAGGGGGGCUGCUCCUAGUACGAGAGGACCGGAGUGGACGCAUCACUGGUGUUCGGGUUGUCAUGCCAAUGGCACUGCCCGGUAGCUAAAUGCGGAAGAGAUAAGUGCUGAAAGCAUCUAAGCACGAAACUUGCCCCGAGAUGAGUUCUCCCUGACUCCUUGA